rnacentral:rRNA from 1 species
AACUUAGUGGCGAACGGGUGAGUAACGCGUGAACAACCUGACCCAAAGAGGGGGAUAACAUUUGGAAACAGAUGCUAAUACCGCAUAAGACCACAACGUCACAUGGCGAAGGGGUCAAAGGAGCAAUCCGCGUUUGGGAGGGGUUCGCGUCCCAUUAGGUAGUAGGCGGGGUAACAGCCCACCUAGCCAACGAUGGGUAGCCGAGCUGAGAGGCUGAUCGGCCACACUGGAACUGAGACACGGUCCAGACUCCGUACGGGAGGCAGCAGGUGGGGAAUUAGUUGGGCAAGUGGGCGCAAGCCUCGACCCAGCAACGCCGCGUGAAGGGAAGUAAGGUUUCGGAUUAGUAAACCUCUGUCGCAGAAGACGAAGGAAGUGACGGUAUUCUGUGAGGAACGCCCGGCUAACUACGUGCCAGCCGCGGC